rnacentral:lncRNA from 1 species
AAAUUGAAACUCUUUUUCCAAGAAGUUUCUUUCUUCUUUUUCCCUUUUUUUAAGUUGUUUUUUUUAAAAAUUUUUUUUAGCAUUAUUAGUGUUGUCUCCACAAUUAUUAUAUUUGUAUGUAAUUUUCAUGCCUGACUUUUAUUUGUUACAAUAUGGGACAGAGCAACAUAUAUACGAUCUUAUUUGUGAAAGGAACUCGUCAGAAUCAAGCUUGAAGAAUAUCAAUCAUUAGCGAUAUAUCACACUUUAUUUACAUGUAUUUUUCUGUUGUAAGCUUGUAUAUAGUUAUAGUGUGAAUUCAAUUUUUCUUCUUUUUAUUU